UCAAAUUCACUAUAGAAAAAACUAAUCAAAUAGAAUCAUCAACAACAAUAAACUGACAUUAGCAUAAGAAAAUGAUAAAAGUGACAUUGCUUUCAUCCAUAAUCCACUCCCAACUACAUACUUCGUUGAUAAGAAAAAAAAAUCCUUUAGAUAAGUUAGCAUAUAACACUUUCAACGAAUUAACUACAAAACAAACUGAUCCCUUUCCUUUUGCAAUCCCUUCUGCACUGCCUUUUUCCUUACAG
rnacentral:lncRNA from 1 species